rnacentral:lncRNA from 1 species
AUGGGGAGAGGACUCCAAAUUCUGCUUCAGAGAGUUUGCUCUCUGCACAGACAGCAGUUGGCACCUUCCGGCUCUGCUCCUGACAGCGGAUCUGAACCUGUCUCCUGUCCACAUGCAGGGCUGGAUGGGAGCCGGCCACCCAGCCCAGGUCCCAAGACUGAGGGCCCUUCCUCUGGGUCUGCCGGGCGGGGAGGCCUCCAGCCGGCCUGCUGCAGGGGGUUGUGGGGAGGGCACAGCUCCCUGAGGGCAGGACAGAGGGAGGCGGGCGCGUGGAGUGUGCAGCUGCUGGGCCCAGGCCGGAACCUUCCAGGGCACUGCACAGGGGCCAGCAGUCCCCCUGCUUCUCCCCCACCCCCCAUGUUCACUUGUGUCCACCCAGCAGGUGUCUCUGGCCUCGUCCAGCCUCCCCAGAACUGGAGGCUAUGGCCGGCAGGUGCGCCAGCGCCCGUCAGUCCACCCUGUGUUGUGGCUGUGUGUCUGUCCGCGGCAGCCUAUGCCCUCCAGUGCUCAGAGCUCGCAUGGUCUCUGGCUUGGCCUGAAGCAGACGCAGCAGCUCACUCCAGCCCCUGGUUGGGAGGAGGUUGGUCUUUGGCUUUGGGGGCGUUCACCAGCACACACACCCCUUCCUCUCCUGCGUGUGUCCUGUCUGCCUUGCCUUCUGAGCACCUGAACUAUGGGCGGCUGCAUCAGGUGGGGGGCAGGGGGUCCUUUGGCCUCAGACUCUGGCCUCCUGCACAGAUGCUCCAGGGCCAGUCCUGUGACUCAGAGCCACGGCUAACCCCAGGAGGCACCUGGGCCGCUGGGCCCCAGGUGUGGGCUUCCCUGCUCAGCUGCAGCCCCUGGAAAGGUCAGCCCCUCCUCUUGAUUCACCUGUGGGCUGCUCUGCUUGUCCCCCUCCAGGUGGGCUUUGCAUCGUGGGCCCCCAGCCUAGGUCGGUGGACAGUCUCCCAGUCUGUGUGCUAUCUGAGGCGCAGCUUGGCAGCAACGUGUCCCCCCAGCCAGGGUGGGAGAAGGGAACAUAGCAGGGCAGUUUCUCUCCUCAGCCCUUGUCCCAGCACACAUCACUUGCUGUGUCAACUGCAUGAAAUAAACCUCUUUUUAAAUUCCUAG